UCCAUUCAUUCCCACCAAACAUAAGCACUAAUCUCCAACCUCAAUUGAUUGGUAGUUGGAGACUUUUAGCAGCUCAAUCCAAUGAUUCCUAAAACCUUCCAACUUUUUGGAGCCAUUUUGCUCCUCUUCUUGUUUCAGUUACCAAACAGAAUCCAAUCAAAACCAAGUGGAAAUCCUUUUGGGUUUAUCCAACACCUAGAGGGAUGCCACAAGGGUGAAUCUAUAAGUGGGCUCAAGGACCUUAAACGAUAUCUUGAGAAAUUUGGGUACUUGAAUUACGCCAAAAAAAGCAGAAACAACCAUGCAAAUGAUGAUGAGUUUGAUGAUCUUUUGGAGGCAGCAAUCAAGGAUUACCAACACUACUAUCACCUGCAAGCCACAGGAGUUUUAGACAAUAAUACAGUAUCUCAAAUGACGAAACCUAGAUGUGGGGUGCCAGAUGUUGUCAAAAAUGGCACAAACAAGCACUACCAUAAUCCCAAAUCCAUCCACUCAGUAGCCCAUUUCAGCUUCUUCCCUGGACCCCGAAGAUGGCCAGCAGAGAGAAGCCAUUUAAGAUACAGGUUUCGUUCCAGUGUGCAAGUCCCUGGAACUGGCAAUUUCAGGUCCAUAUGUGCACAAGCAUUUCAGAGAUGGGCACAAGUUACCCACUUCACAUUCGAGGAAGUUGAUGCUAAUUCUGAGGCAGAAAUCGAGAUUGGAUUUCACAGGAGGUUCCAUGGAGAUAGUGACCCCUUUGAUGGAAUAUCAGGGACUUUCGCACAUGCAACUGCACCAACUCAUGGAAGGUGCCAUUUUGAUGGAGAUGAGAUAUGGAGUGGAAAUCCUGGACCUAAUGAGUUGGACUUGGAAUCAGUUGCAGUGCAUGAAAUCGGGCACCUUCUAGGUCUAGACCAUAGUGAAGACCCAAAUGCUAUAAUGUAUUCUACCUUUGAUUAUGGGAUUACCAAAAGGGAUUUGGGUACUGAUGAUAUUCAAGGAAUUCGUACUCUGUAUGGAUUGCAGUAAUGAGUUCAUUAUUCUUAUUACAAUAAGAGCAACUGAGAUCCAAUAUGCUUUGGAGGGUUUAGUGCUACGUAGUUUGAAUAUAAUAUUUUUGAUAAUUCUCAUUUGUAUCACUAGGAAAUAUAUAAAUAAAAGAAAUCUCAUGGUUUUGUAAUUUCAAAUCCUUUUAAAACUAUAUGACUUCUUUAUAAAAUCUCUACACAAAGAUGUAAAAAAGAAAAAAAAAAAAAUCAAAUGUCUUAAUGAUCAGUAUUGAGUAUAAUUAAUUAAACUUGUAUAAUGCAUUAAUUUUAUUUCCAUUUGACUAUUAUUUUAAUUUUACAGUCCUUUUAAAUGAUAAAAUUACUUAUCUUACAAAUUAAAAUAUAUAAUUAAAAAAUAUAUAUGUAUUCCAUCUAUUUCAAUUUACCAACUUUAUUACAAGUGAAUGAAUACUUUUUUACGAAAUAAUCUUUUAAAAGCAAAUACUAUAAUUUUUAGAUUUAGUUAGUGGAAAGACAUAAUUAAAACAGAGAAAUCAAUAUUCAAUAUGUAGAAGGAUUUGAUUUAAAUUUUAGCAGAAGUCCCAAGAUUUUUUUAUGAUUUUUCAAUAUCGGGAACUAUAAGUAUUGAUUAAAAUGAUUUCUAAAAGUUAAUUUAUUUUUAAAUAUAUCUUUGACAAAUCCAACUAGAGAAAAAUUAUAACAAGAUUAGGGAUGGCAGGCGGGCGGGUUUUCAUGGGUAUCCGAUCCGCCCAAACCCUAUUAGGACGGAUUUGGUUUUUACAAAAUGGAUUUGGGCGAAUUCGGAUUUGAAAAAUUUUACCCGUCUCGGAUUCGGGUAGGGUUCGGGAUUAGGUAAUCGGAUACCCAUUACCCGAACCCGAUUAACUAUACUAACAAAACUAACCCUAAUCUCUAAUUUAUUUUUUUAUUUUACUCUUUCCUCUCUUCAUCUACAUCUCUCUCUCCCUCGCUUCCCUUCCCAUAGUUCUCAGCCACGCCCCUCCCCCACUUCACUGCCGGCAGCCCAGUCGUCACCGGCGACGUCUCCUUUCUCUCCCCAGUCGACGAUAAAUCUUCUCUUUCCUCCGUCAGCAAUAUCUCCUUCUCUCUCUCCAGCGGCGACAUCUCCGACUUUCCAGUUGAAGACAACUCUUCCCUGUGCCCGGUCGACGUCGGCGAUAUCUCCUUCUCUCUUCCUAGUCGGGUGAAAUCUACUCUUUUCAAUUUACGCUUCUCUCCCCGCACUUCACUGACGCUAGAGACAACCCUUCUCUCCUCAAUCGGCGACAUCUGCUUUGACUAGAACUCUCUUCAGGUUUCAAGAUCUUUUAUGUGUAUGUUCUUAAAGAAUUUUAUAAUUUAUAAACUAUUAAUCUGAUUAUUUGGAUAUAUUAAAAAAUCUAAUUAUUUGCUAUUUGAUUAAUGUAAUACUGUUGAUUUUUAAAAUUUAUGGACAAUUAUCUAAUUAUUUGAUUAUAAAUCAAUAUUUGUUGGGUUGCUGAGUUGCUGGUUCUUGUCAUUGAACAUUUCUCCUCCUACUGAAUUGUGCAACUGUUAGAUAGUUUAUUUGGUUUUGUCAUUGAAUGAAAUUAAAAAAAUUAUUUGCUGAGUUGCUGGUUUGUAUCGAGUUCGGGUAUUGUGCGGGUAUUGUUAAACGGGUUUGGAACGGGUUCGGAUAGUAAAAUUAAAAUAUUAAACGAGUUUGGGACGGGUUCGGGAAUUGUAUAUAUAAUCGGGUUUGGGUUUGGGUACUCUCAAUUUCGCGGGUACCCUACCCAUUUACAUCCCUAAACAAGAUAAGUAUCGAUUAAAAUGAUUUCUAAAAGUUAAUUUAUUUUUAAAUAUAUCUUUAACAAAUCCAUCUAGAGAAAAAUUAUAACAAGAUAAUUCUUCAAUAAUAAAUUUGCCAUACAAACAUAGGUUUUUCUAUUUCAAAGUUACUUAGUUCUUCUCUAUAAAAUGUGAAUUACCUUAUGCACUAUAAAAAAACCUUCGGAUUAUCCACAGAUUUUAUCAACGAAUUUUAAUCUGUUAAUAAUUUUAAUAAAUUUAAAAAUUAAUUAGUAAUUUUUAUAUAAUUUAUAUGUAUUAUUAAAAAAAUUUAAAAAUGAGUGGUAAUUUAUAAAUAAUUAAAAUAAUCGGUGAUGAAAUUUCCUAACGAAUUUAAAACCUAUUAGUAAAUUCUUUGAUAAUUUACUAAUAAAUUUCAAUAUGUCAGUAAAUCUAAAAAAAUAUUUAAAUUAAUAACAAAUUAUAAAUCUAUUACUAAUAUAUUUAAAAAAUCAUUAUCGAAUUUAAAAAUUUAUUAUUAAAUUUUAUUAUUAUAUUAAUAAAUUAAAAAAAUAUUAAAUUUAUCGAUGUUAUCCAUUAGUAAAUCAUUGAUAAAUUUAAAAUGAAAUCAGAUGUAAAAUUUUUACUUUUUCUUUAGAUUUAUAGUUGUCGGUUAAUGACGAAUUUCAAAUCCGUCGAGAAAAAAUCUAAUUUCUUUUUUUGUAAAAUUUAGUAACGAAUUAUGAAUCCAUUACUAAUUCAUAUUUAUAAAUAUAACACUAUCUCUUUUUCUUUUAUUACUCAUUCAUUUUAUCAUUUUUUUUUAUUUUUUUUCCCUUUCUCUCAUUUUUUUUCUUUUUCUAUUAUUUUCUUUUUCACUUUAUUAUUUCAUAAUUUUUUUUAUUUUUUCUAUUAUUUUCUUUUCUAUCUCUUAUAUUUUUUUUCUCUCAUUCUCUUUUCUCUUUUAUUAUUUUUUUCAUUUUUUUCUCAUAAUUUUCUUUUAGCUUUCUCCAUUAUUUUUCCAUCAUUUUCUUCCCUUUACCUCUCAUUUUCUUCAUUUUCUAUAUAAUUCAUUCAUAUUGCCCUUAUUUGAAAUGUCAAAUUUUGAAAGAAUUCGAAAAAUAAAUAAAUUCCUUUAUUAAAUUUUUGUGUUUGGUACAAUCAAUAAUAUAAAAUUUUAAUUUUCUUGAUUUUCGUGAGAAUUGAUUUUGAAUUAAAAGUAAAUUUUGCCAAAAUUAUUGAAUUUUUACAAAAAAAAAAUUUUAUUUAAAGUUACAUCAAAAUUACUUAAUUAGCCAUUGAAUUUUUUUUUUAAAUUUAAUUUUAAAUUUAUUUCUUAUUUUUAAUUAAUAAUUACUCUUUAUAAAAAUUAUUUUAAUUUAAUAGUAACUAUUAAUAUUUAAUGCAUUUAUAAUUAAUAUUAACAAAUUUAUUAUAUUAUUUUAUUAAUUUUAAAAAUAUUUUUUAUAUUUUAAUGGUAAAAAAUUACGUAAAAUUCAAACUUUAAAUAUUAAUAAUGAUUGUGAUAAAAAUGAAUGUUAUUUAUAAAAAUAAAUAUUUAUAUUUGUUUAAAAAUAAUAAGAAUAUAAAUGAAUUAAAUUAAAUUAAAUUUUAUUAUUAAUUUGUCUAACAUAAAUGAGUUAAAUUGAAUUCUAUUAUAUUUAAAUUGAUUCUAAAUAAAUGAAUUUUUUCAGAAAUAAAUUGAAUUUUUUAAUGAAUUGCAUACCAAAUAAGGGCAUUAAUUACUCUCAUAUUAUAUUCUUUUAUCAUUUUUCUUCUAUCAAUAUUUCUUUCUAUUAUUCUCUUUUUUUUUAUUUUCUUGUAUAAUUAUUUGUCCCUUUUUUUUCAUUUCUCUAAUCAUUAUUUUACUCUAUAUUCAUUCUUCCUUCUUUUUUCAUAAUUUUUAUUUUUUUAUUAUUUUCUUUUUUUAUCAUUUUCUCUUCAUCUAUAUUAUUUAUUUUUCUCUUAUUUUUAUUUUUAUGUAUUUCUAAUAAAUAUUGAAUAUAAAUUAAGAAUUUAGUAACAAUAAUAAUAUAAUUUUAAAUUUUAUUGAAGUAAUAAAAAAUAAUAUUAAUAAUAAAAUUUAUUAUUUAAUUAAAAUAAUAAUUAUUUUUAAAUUAUUUAAAUUUUUAAUAUGAAUUUAGUGACAAAUUGCAAUCUGUUAUUAAUUUAUUAAUGGAUUUAUCAACAGUAUCUGUUAAUAAAAUAUUUUUCUUUCAAUUUAUUAAUAAAUUUAAAAUUCAUUAGUAAUAAUAACAGAAAUUUCACUGAUAAAUAUGUUAAUAUUUUUUAAUAGACUUAAAAACUAUUGGUAAAAAUUUAUCGACGAAUUUUUUCAUAACGGAUUGUAAUCCAUUAGUAAUCAUUAUAAACGAAUUACUAAUAAAUUUUAAUUAAUUAGAUUAUUAACGAAAAAAUUCAUUGAUAAUGCAAAAAUUUCUUAACAAUCAUUUGACUGUUAUCUUAAUUUUACAGUCUCUUAAAUGAUAAAAGUGAUAGGAUGCAAAUUCUGCCUAUUUAGUAUAUGUUUUAAUAUAUUUAAUUUGAUUUGAUUUUGCUAAAUUAUGAAUAUUUUUUUCCCUUUUAUAAUAUUAGCCAAUUUUAUUCAUUCUAGAAAGAAAAAUUCUAUUUUAAAAGUUUAGACAAGAAUCAGAAUUGGAGUCCUAAAUCUAGCCUUGAACAUGUCUUAUACUGUGAGCACAACUUAUAUGAGUUAACUUAUAGUGAGAAGUGAAUGGAGUCAUGAAAUAAAUCUUAGGCAUGCUUCAUAUAAAGGUCACACAUAGAAUUUAUUGAAAAGCAAGUAAAGCUAUAGAGUAAACCUUGGGCUAAGCAUGCACAGACUUAUGCAAUGUCACAGAAUUUUCAUAUCUAAUUCUCUAUUAAAUUGUAAAAAUCAAUUUAGGAAGAAAUGAUUUUACAAAGAAAUGACACUUUUAGAUUGUUACUUCUAGAUUUUCUUUUAUUUCUCUUUAGUUUAGGAUUACUCUCGUUUAAAAAAUGGAAGGUUCUUUGAAUGGGAGAACUUUUGAAACUCAUGAUGCUUUACUUUUUUGCUUUUAUGAUUAGUUCUUUGAAUGGAAAAAUGGAAGAUUCUUUGAAUUAAAAAAACACAUAAAAAAAUAUUCACACAAGUGUAAUCAAACUGAACUGAACUGAUUUUUGUAAAAUUUAGAUUCAUUUAUUAAAAAAUUUUAAAAAUUCGACCUCGAGCUGGUUUAAACUCAAUUCGAAAAUUAAAUACUAUAAUCGAGUUCAGUUCACACUCGACUCAUAAAAAACUCGUUUAGUAUAAUAACGAAUCUAAUAACUUGACUCAUAAAAAACUCAUUUAGUAUAAUAAUGAGUCUAAUUUCAACUUUAAUAUGAAAAUUUGAAUUAAAAAAUUUAAAUUCGAAAAAUUCAAUUAAAAAACUCCAACUCGAAAAAUUCUAAAACAAUUUGAUGAUUUAUUUUUAAUUGUAAUCAAUUAAAUUAAAAGUUAAAACAAUAUAUUAUCAUUUAAUUCACAUCAGAUCAACUUACCUUGCGUCCAUCUAAAGAUACUAAUUAAUUAAUUAGUUAGAAGACCUUCUAGAGUGUCAAUAGCAAUAAUGCCGAUGAAAUAGGAUCUCCACACUUGCUUUUCGUUGUUUAUAAAGGAAUUUAAUAAGAAUGUUUUUAAAGUGUUGAUUUGAUUUGUCCGCAUAAAUUGAGGGAAAAAGAACAAAAAAGGAAAGGACGAAGCAAUUCAUAUAUAUAAUAACAAGUUUUUCCAAAAAGAGAAAACACGAUAUUUUUUCCUAAAUCUAAACUAAAAACAGACUUUAAAAAAAAAAAAAAACUGUAUGCAUGUUUCUCCAAAAUUUAACAAGGAUUCGAGUAUGUGUCUCCAAAAUUUAGUAGAAAAUUUUGAAUAUGCAAAUUAACAAUUUAUUUGAGUGUAUAAAUAAUUUGGAUUGAACAAAUAAUUUUCUCAAUUUCCUCAUUUUUUAGGAAGGCUUUGUAGUGCGUCAAGGGCAGUGGGUUCCAAGCAACUAAAUAAUUAGAUUGACUUCCCACUUGCUUUUCCUUUUUGGCAACGGGAAAAUAAGACCACUUAAUGAGAAUUACUAGGAAAUGAUAAACAUCAAUAAAUAAAUAAUUCAAGAGGAAGACUAGGUAGACUAUUCUUCUGAUGGCCAGAAAUUUUCAUAUACUUUAACAUAGAAAUUAAGAAUUUUCCUUCAGUCUAAAUUAACCCCUUGUCGAAGGCAAGACUUUUAUAAGUCUUUCUAAGUAAACAUAUAUAGAAACUAAGCACUAUAAAUAGAUACAGAAACUCCAUUCAUUCCCACCAAACAUAAGCACUAAUCUCCAACCUCAAUUGAUUGGUAGUUGGAGACUUUUAGCAGCUCAAUCCAAUGAUUCCUAAAACCUUCCAACUUUUUGGAGCCAUUUUGCUCCUCUUCUUGUUUCAGUUACCAAACAGAAUCCAAUCAAAACCAAGUGGAAAUCCUUUUGGGUUUAUCCAACACCUAGAGGGAUGCCACAAGGGUGAAUCUAUAAGUGGGCUCAAGGACCUUAAACGAUAUCUUGAGAAAUUUGGGUACUUGAAUUACGCCGAAAAAAGCAGAAACAACCAUGCAAAUGAUGAUGAGUUUGAUGAUCUUUUGGAGGCAGCAAUCAAGGAUUACCAACACUACUAUCACCUGCAAGCCACAGGAGUUUUAGACAAUAAUACAGUAUCUCAAAUGACGAAACCUAGAUGUGGGGUGCCAGAUGUUGUAAAAAAUGGCACAAACAAGCACUACCAUAAUCCCAAAUCCAUCCACUCAGUAGCCCAUUUCAGCUUCUUCCCUGGACCCCGAAGAUGGCCAGCUGAGAGAAGCCAUUUAAGAUACAGGUUUCGUUCCAGUGUGCAAGUCCCUGGAACUGGAAACUUCAGGUCUAUAUGUGCACAAGCUUUUCAGAGAUGGGCACAAGUUACCCACUUCACAUUCGAGGAAGUUGAUGCUAAUUCUGAGGCAGAAAUCGAGAUUGGAUUUCACAGGAGGUUCCAUGGAGAUGGGAACCCUUUUGAUGGAAUAUCAGGGACUUUAGCACAUGCAUUUGCACCAACUAAUGGAAGGUGCCAUUUUGAUGGAGAUGAGAUAUGGAGUGCAAAUCCUGGACCUAAUGAGGUGGACUUGGAAUCAGUUGCAGUGCAUGAAAUAGGGCAUCUUCUGGGUCUUGACCACAGUGAGGAUCGAAAUGCUAUAAUGUAUUCUACCUUUGAUUAUGGGAUUACCAAAAGGGAAUUGGGUACUGAUGAUAUUCAAGGAAUUCGUACUCUGUAUGGAUUGCAGUAAUAGUUGCAUUAUUUUAUUGUAAUAAGAGCAAUUGAGAUCCAAUAUGCUUUGGAGGCUUAGUGCUAUAUUGUUCGAAUGUAAUAUUUCUAAUAUUUUUCCCUUAUAUCACCGGUUAAAAGAAUCACAUGGCUGCUUAAAGGUUUUAUGAUAUAGGACUAAUUAGAUUUCGUCAAGAGUUUUAACUGAUAAUAUUUUAAUGGAUUUAUUAAUGGAUCUUAUAUUUAUUAGUAAAUUAUUUUUCUUUUAAUUUACUAUAAAUCUAAAAUCCGUUAAUAAUAAUAACGGAAAUUCCAUUAGUAAAUAUGUUUAUAUUUACUAAUAGAUUUAAAAAUCGUUGACAAGCUUUUUAAUAAGGGAUUGUAAUCCGUUGGUAAACAAAUUAUCAAUGGAUUUUUAUUAGAUUACCAAUGAAAAAAUUUGUUGGUAAUGCAGAAGUUUCUUGUAGUGAGAUUCACCAUUAUCUUAAUUUUAUAAUUUCUUAAAUAAUAAAAGUGAUAGGAUGCAAAUUCUGCCUAUUUAAUAUAUAUUUUAACGUAUUUAAUUUGAUUUGAUUCUGUUAAAUUAUAGUUAUUUCUUUUCCUUUUGUAGUAUUGACAGAUUUUAUUCAUUCUGAAAAGAAAAGUUUUAUUUUGAAUGUUUAGACAAGAAUUAGAAUUGGAGUCGUAAAGCUAGUCUUGAGUACGUCUCACACACAGUGAGCACAACUUACAUUAAAUGACUUAUACGGAGCAAUGAAUAGAGUCAUGAAAUAAAUCUUAGGCACGCUUCAAAUCAUGGUCGCAAAUAGAAUUCAUUGAGAAGCAAAUAAAACCAUAGAGUAAACCUUGGACUAAGCGUACACAGAUUUGUAGCAUAACUUAUGCAAUAUCACGGGAUUUUCAUAUCUAAUUCUUUAUUAAAUUGCAGAAACCAGUUUAUGAAGAAUUGAUUUUAGAAAGAAAAAAAACUUUUAGAUGGUUACUUCUAGAUUUUUUUUAUUUCUCUUAAGAAAAGUUCUUUGAAGUGAGAACUUUUGAAACUUCUUAUACUUUACCUUUUUGCUUUUAUAAUUGGUUGCGACAUGAGUUACGGUGGCAAAUCUUUUUUAUCUAGUUAGGGAACUUUCGAGGUGUAUCCUUCUUAUUUUUAGUUUUUAUAUUAUCCCUUUGUUCUUUAGAAUUUUAUUUAUUUAAUUGAUGUAAUAUAUCCAAUUGCUCAAUUGAGUAAAUAGCAUAUAAUCAUUUAAAUUCAUUUAGUCUCUUCUUAUUUCUAGUUUCUAUAUUAUUCUUUUAUUCUUUAGAAUUUUAUUUAUUUAGUUGAUGUAAUCUAUCCAAUUGCUCAAUUGAGUAAAUAACAUAUAAUCAUUCAUAUUCAUUUAGUCAGUAAUUAUUUGUGAGUUUUAUAUUUGUGACAAACAAUAUUUUAUUGUGAAAUAAGAUAUUAUGAUUUCAUAGUUGCGCUGGUAUGACCUUCUUGGUUAGAAUCGGGUCUUUCUAAUUUUAAAUGCCGUUAUCAAAUUAAAUCUUAUUAAAUUUAUCAUAUAGUUUGUUUGUUGAUUAGGGGCUAAUUAGUAAACUGAUCCUUUUUAGUCUAUUAUCUAACGAAAAAUUAAAUUGUUAGAACGUGUCAAUAAUUAUAACUAGCUGACCAGAAAUUAAUUUAAAUAUUCUUGCAUCUAUGAUCAAUCUCGAAAAUUAACACCAAGAUACUCUCGAAAUUAAAUAUUUUUUAAAUCUAAUUAAUCUCUUUAAUUAUUUGCUUCUUAAUUAGUUUACUUUUACAUUCAAUUAAAUCUCUUUAAUCUAAAACCCCAUACUUUUAUAUUUUAUUUUACUUUAUUUUUAGAGUAAACUACAAUUUAGUCCCUCUAGUUUAGUGAAAUAUAACCUUUCAUCCCUCUGUUUUUAAAAAUCGUCAAUUUAGUUACUGUGAUUUUUAAAAAUUAUGCCAUUAGUCCCUCCCGUUAGAUUUUCAGUUAAGUCACCAUUAGUUUUAGUUAAAAGACUAAAAUACCCAUUCUCUCAUCCACCUCAUCAGUCUAUCAUGGAAUUGUGUCCUCUGUUGCCAUGGAUGUCUAGAGCUUCCACAAGAAAAACAAGGGUGUUAAGUUAACAGUGGCAAAGAAAUCUUACAGACAAUUAGUAAGAAAUUUUACAUGAUAAGACCAAAGAACUUGGUCUUGGAUCCCACUUUGGAUGUUCAGAUUUUGAAAUCAAAACAAAAUUUUUUUAAAUAAGCAACUGAUAAUCACAACAGAGGGACCAAUAGCAUAAUUUUUAAGAUAGAGGAUCUUGAAGAUGGAGGAGUACUCAUUUCGAAUCAUCCUAAAAAAAGCCCGAAUCGAGAGUUUUGCUUCGUGGGUUUGCAGAUAUGGAUGCUAGAACUCCAUUCUCUCACCCACAAUUCCAUCGACUGCAAUUCCAUGAUAGAAAAUAGCUGGAGAGAAUUGGAAAGAACCUUUGGAGAAAGAUCAUAGACAUUAGAACAGCGCAUGCUGAUUAACCUACGCAAGCAUUUGACUUCUGCGGCCACAUCGGCCGUGUUCAUCCGUACCUUCACCAUAUCUUCUCCCUAUUCAAAGAUCGCUCUUUAUCUCUGUGUCCUUGUGAAUGGAACUGGAGAAGAUAUCCGUAGCAAAAGGAGUUGUCUUUCGAUUUCAAAAUAUGGAGAAAGGUCUUCGCCUUGCUCGCUACCGCCUGGUGCCUGGAUAAUUUCCAGUUCCGACAUGCUUUGCGAUGUCGUUUUGUCCAUCAUCUUUGAAGAAUACACUUGCUGCAAAAUAUGUGAUCAAAAUCUGUAGCUUAAGUGUUCGGUAGAAGUAGGUGGCUUCAUUUAAUGUUUACUGUUACCAUUGCUUGAUCUGUUGCUUAAAACACUCUCUGCCACAAUUGUUGAUGAUGUUGUCUUGCUAGAGUUGUUUUCUAAAGAGUUUUGAAGAAACACAAUCCAUUGAUAGACUGAUGAGGUGGGUGAGAGAAUGGGUAUUUUAGUUUUUUAACUAAAACUAACGAUGACUUAACUGAAAAUCUAACGGGAGGGACUAAUGGCAUAAUUUUUAAAAAUCACAAUGACUAAAUUGAUGAUUUUUUAAAACAGAGGGACGAAAUGUUAAAUUGCACUAAACUAGAGGGACUAAAUUGUAGUUUACCCUUAUUUUUAUCAAGGAAUAAAAUUAAACAGUAAUUUUUGAAUUUAAUCCUACUCACUAUAUUUAUAAUUAUUUAUAAUAAGAGCAUGAUUUAUUUUUAUUGGAUUCGACACCUAUUAAAAAUUAUUUUAAAAUAACUUAUUUUACAAAUCAAAAUACAUAAUUAUAAAAUAAUAUAUGAAUAUAUUCCUCUUAUUUUGAUUAACAAAAUUUAUUAUAAAAUCAUGAUUUAUGCAUUCAAGGUUCAAUGUACACAAUAAUAAACACUUCUUUUACAAAUUAAUAUUUCAAAAAUAAAUACUAUAGUUUUUAAAUUUAUUUAAUAAAAAAACAUAAUUAAGUCAGAAGAAUGGAUUUUAAAAGAAGCUUUUAUACGUGUAAAAGUUGAGAAAAUUACAAAACCUAAUACAAAUAAAUCAAUACGAAGAUGGAUGAUUUGGUUGCUCCAUUUACAAACUGAUCUUUUAUUAAUAAAUUAUUUAAAAUUAUAAUACAUGGUAUAUAAAUUAAAAACUAUAGAUAAUAAUUAAAUUGGUUAUAAUAUUUAUUAUUAUAUAAUAAAAAUUAUAUACAUAUAAAAAAUAAUUAUAUUUUCAAUUAUAUUAUAUAUGUUAUAUAAUAAAUUAAUAUUUUUAUAUUUAUUUUAUUAACAUAGUAAAUUAAUAAUAUCGUCAUUAGUCAUUUUAUAUGUCUAGACAUAGUAUACAAAAGCAGGCUUAGCCUGGUGGAAAGUGCAUCCUGUAGCCUUGAAAGGUCUAAGGUUUGACUCCUCCAACCCCUAUUUCAAAAAAAAAAAAAAAGACAUAAUAUACAAAACACAUAAGGUAUAUCAGUUAAAAUUAAUUACCAGCGAUAAACUAUCAAUAACUAUUAUCAAUUAUAUUUAACAGGUAAAUAAAACAUUUUUUAAUUUGAUAGUGAUUAUUCUCUGAUUAGCUUUCAGUUUACACUGCACUAUCAAUUGCAAUUUAUUCCUUUUGAAUUAAUAUAUUUUUUUAAUUCAAAUAAAAUUAAGCUCCUAAUUUUUUUUAAGCAAUGAGUUAUGCCAAUGCAUUCAAUUUGUUUUUCCAUAUUACAAGACUAAUUAAAUUAAUUUAGUCAUCGUUGAAUUAAGCAAUUUAAGUUUUCCUAUAAUGAAAAAAAACUUACGAAAAACACUUAAAAAAAACAUUCAUCAGACAUAUAAUUGAAUCGAGUCGAAUUAAUUUUUAUAAAGCACACAUUUGUUUAUUAAAAAAUUUUGGAAACUCGACCUCAAACUGACUUCAACUCGAUUCAAAAAUUAAAUAUUAUAAUAGAAUUCGGUUCGAACUCGACACUUUAAAAACCCGUUUAAUAUAAUAAUGAGCCUAAUUUAACUCGUAAAAAAUUUAUUUAAUAUAAUAAUAAAUCUAAUUUAAAUUUAAAUUCGAGAAACUCAGAUUAAAAAGUUCGAGCUCGAAAAAUACUAAAAUAAUUGGAUGAUUUAUUUCUAGCUUUAAUCAAUUAAAUUAAAAGUUAAAACGAUAUACUAUUAUUUAAUUCACAUCAGAUCAACUUAUCUUGCAUCCAUCUAAAGAUAUCAAAUAAUUAAUUAGUUAGAAGACCUUCUAGAGUGUCAAUAACAAUAAUGCCUAUGAAAUAGUUUUCUCCCCACUUGCUUUUCAUUGUUUAUAAAGGAAUUUAAUAAGAAUGUCUUAAAAGUGUUGAUUUGAUUUGUCGACAUAAAUUGAGAAAAAAAAAAAAGAACUGGAAACGACGAAACAAUUCAUAUAUAUAAUAACAAGUUUUUCCAAAAAGAGAAAAGACAAUAUUUUCUCCUAAAUCUAAAGUAAAAACAGACUUAAAAAAAAAAAAAAGAAACUGUAUGUUUCUCCAAAAUUUAACAAUAAUUCGUGUAUGUGUCUCCAAAAUUUAAUAUAAAAUUUUGAAUAUGCAAAUUAACAAUUUAUUUGAGUGUAUCAAUAAUUUGGAUUGAACAAAUAAUUUUCUCAAUUUCCUCAUUUUUUAGGAAGGCUUUGUAGUGCGUCAAGGGCAGUGGGUUCCAAGCAACUAAAUAAUUAGAUUGACUUCCCACUUGCUUUUCCUUAUUGGCAACGGGAAAAUAAGACCACUUAAUGAGAUUAAUUACUAGGAAAUGAUAAACAUCAAUAAAUAAAUAAUUAAAGAGGAAGACUAGGUAGACUAUUCUUCUGAUGGCCAGAAAUUUUCAUAUACUUUAACAUAGAAAUUAAGCAUUUUCCCUGAGUCUAAAUUAACCCCUUGUUGAAGACAAGACUUUUAGAAGUCUUUCCUACUAAUCAUAUAUAGAAACUAAGCACUAUAAAUAGAUACAGAAACUCCAUUCAUUCCCACCAAGCAAAAGCACUAAUUUCCAACCUCAAUUGAUUGGUAGUCGGAGAAUUUUAGCAGUUCAAUCCAAUGAUUCCUAAAAACUUCCAACUUUUUGGAGCUAUUUUGCUCCUCUUCUUGUUUCAGUUACCAAACAGAAUCCAAUCAAAACCAAGCGGAAAUCCUUUUGGGUUUAUCCAACACCUAGAGGGAUGCCACAAGGGUGAAUCUAUAAGUGGGCUCAAGGACCUUAAACGAUAUCUUGAGAAAUUUGGGUACUUGAAUUACGCCAAAAGUAACAGCAACAACCAUGCAAAUGAUGAUGAGUUUGAUGAUCUUUUGGAGGCAGCAAUCAAGGAUUACCAACACUACUAUCAC
rnacentral:lncRNA from 1 species